UAGGGAAUCUUCGGCAAUGGACGAAAGUCUGACCGAGCAACGCCGCGUGAGUGAAGAAGGUUUUCGGAUCGUAAAACUCUGUUGGUAGAGAAGAACGUUGGUGAGAGUGGAAAGCUCAUCAAGUGACGGUAACUACCCAGAAAGGGACGGCUAACUACGUGCCAGCAGCCGCGGUAAUACGUAGGUCCCGAGCGUUGUCCGGAUUUAUUGGGCGUAAAGCGAGCGCAGGUGGUUUAUUAAGUCUGGUGUAAAAGGCAGUGGCUCAACCAUUGUAUGCAUUGGAAACUGGUAGACUUGAGUGCAGGAGAGGAGAGUGGAAUUCCAUGUGUAGCGGUGAAAUGCGUAGAUAUAUGGAGGAACACCGGUGGCGAAAGCGGCUCUCUGGCCUGUAACUGACACUGAGGCUCGAAAGCGUGGGGAGCAAACAGGAUUAGAUACCCUGGUAGUCCACGCCGUAAACGAUGAGUGCUAGAUGUAGGGAGCUAUAAGCUCUCUGUAUCGCAGCUAACGCAAUAAGCACUCCGCCUGGGGAGUACGACCGCAAGGUUGAAAC
rnacentral:rRNA from 1 species